GCGCCCGUAGCUCAAUCGGAUAGAGCACCGGCCUUCUAAGCCGGCGGUUGUGGGUUCGAGUCCCGCCGGGCGCGCCA
rnacentral:tRNA from 1 species